UACGUAGGGGGCAAGCGUUGUCCGGAUUUAUUGGGCGUAAAGAGCGUGUAGGCGGCUUUACAGGUCCGUUGUGAAAACUCGAGGCUCAACCUCGAGACGCCGGUGGAAACCGUAAAGCUAGAGUCCGGAAGAGGAGAGUGGAAUUCCUGGUGUAGCGGUGAAAUGCGCAGAUAUCAGGAGGAACACCGGUGGCGAAGGCGGGAUCCUGGGCCAGUACUGACGCUGAUGAGCGAAAGCGUGGGGAGCAAACAGG
rnacentral:rRNA from 1 species